rnacentral:rRNA from 1 species
AGCGGCGGACGGGUGAGUAACACGUGGGCAACCUGGCUUUCAGACUGGGAUAACCCCGGGAAACCGGGGCUAAUACCGGAUAACCAGCCGGUUCGCAUGAACCGGCUGUAAAAGAGGGGAGUUUUCUCCUCUCACUGAAAGAUGGGCCCGCGGCGCAUUAGCUAGUUGGUAAGGUAGUGGCUUACCAAGGCGACGAUGCGUAGCCGACCUGAGAGGGUGAUCGGCCACACUGGAACUGAGACACGGUCCAGACUCCUACGGGAGGCAGCAGUAGGGAAUCAUCCGCAAUGGGCGAAAGCCUGACGGUGCAACGCCGCGUGAACGACGAAGGUUUUCGGAUCGUAAAGUUCUGUUGUGAGGGAAGAACACGUGCCGGUCAAACAGGCCGGCACCUUGACGGUACCUCACGAGAAAGCCCCGGCUAACUACGUGCCAGCAGCCGCGGUAAUACGUAGGGGGCAAGCGUUGUCCGGAAUUAUUGGGCGUAAAGCGCGCGCAGGCGGUCUUGUAAGUCUGAUGUGAAAGCCCACGGCUCAACCGUGGAGGGUCAUUGGAAACUG